CGAACGCUCCUAGCAAUAGGGGAGUGGCAGACGGGUGAGUAACGCGUGGGAACAUACCUUUUGGUUCGGAACAACACAGGGAAACUUGUGCUAAUACCGGAUAAGCCCUUACGGGGAAAGAUUUAUCGCCGAAAGAUUGGCCCGCGUCUGAUUAGCUAGUUGGUGAGGUAAUGGCUCACCAAGGCGACGAUCAGUAGCUGGUCUGAGAGGAUGAUCAGCCACAUUGGGACUGAGACACGGCCCAAACUCCUACGGGAGGCAGCAGUGGGGAAUAUUGGACAAUGGGCGCAAGCCUGAUCCAGCCAUGCCGCGUGAGUGAUGAAGGCCCUAGGGUUGUAAAGCUCUUUUGUGCGGGAAGAUAAUGACGGUACC
rnacentral:rRNA from 1 species